UACAGAGGGUGCUAGCGUUGCUCGGAAUUAUUGGGCGUAAAGGGCAGGUAGGUGGUCUCGUUUGUCCGAGGUGAAAGCCCCGAGCUUAACUUGGGAAGUGCCUCGGAAACGGCGAGACUAGAGUCUUGGAGAGGGUCGCGGAAUACCCGGUGUAGCGGUGAAAUGCGUAGAGAUCGGGUGGAAUACCAGAGGCGAAGGCGGCGACCUGGACAAGAGCUGACACUCAACUGCGAAAGCGUGGGGAGCAAACAGG
rnacentral:rRNA from 1 species